GAAUCUGGCUUCAGGUCUGGGACAACCAUUGGAAACGGUGGCUAAUACCGGAUGUGCCGAAAGGUGAAAGAUUAAUUGCCUGAAGAUGAGCUCGCGUCUGAUUAGCUAGUAGGUGGGGUAAAAGCCUACCUAGGCGACGAUCAGUAGCUGGUCUGAGAGGAUGAUCAGCCACACUGGGACUGAGACACGGCCCAGACUCCUACGGGAGGCAGCAGUGGGGAAUUUUCCGCAAUGGGCGAAAGCCUGACGGAGCAAUACCGCGUGAGGGAGGAAGGCUCUUGGGUCGUAAACCUCUUUUCUCAGGGAAGAACACAAUGACGGUACCUGAGGAAUCAGCAUCGGCUAACUCCGUGCCAGCAGCCGCGGUAAUACGGAGGAUGCAAGCGUUAUCCGGAAUGAUUGGGCGUAAAGCGUCCGCAGGUGGCUGUGUAAGUCUGCUGUUAAAGAGUGAGGCUCAACCUCAUAAAAGCAGUGGAAACUACACGGCUAGAGUGCGUUCGGGGCAGAGGGAAUUCCUGGUGUAGCGGUGAAAUGCGUAGAUAUCAGGAAGAACACCGGUGGCGAAAGCGCUCUGCUAGGCCGCAACU
rnacentral:rRNA from 1 species